rnacentral:rRNA from 1 species
CACGUAGGCGGAUCGGAAAGUUGGGGGUGAAAUCCCGGGGCUCAACCCCGGAACUGCCUUCAAAACUAUCGGUCUGGAGUUCGAGAGAGGUGAGUGGAAUUCCGAGUGUAGAGGUGAAAUUCGUAGAUAUUCGGAGGAACACCAGUGGCGAAGGCGGCUCACUGGCCCGCAACUGACGCUGAGGCGCGAAAGCGUGGGGAGCAAACG